rnacentral:rRNA from 1 species
UACGAAGGGGGCUAGCGUUGCUCGGAAUCACUGGGCGUAAAGGGUGCGUAGGCGGGUCUUUAAGUCAGGGGUGAAAUCCUGGAGCUCAACUCCAGAACUGCCUUUUGAUACUGAGGAUCUUGAGUUCGGGAGAGGUGAGUGGAACUGCGAGUGUAGAGGUGAAAUUCGUAGAUAUUCGCAAGAACACCAGUGGCGAAGGCGGCUCACUGGCCCGAUACUGACGCUGAGGCGCGACAGCGUGGGGGAGCAAACAGG